UGGUUGCCAGUCCUGAAGCUAGAUUUUGUUUGCCACUUUUGGGUUUAUUAUGCAAUCACCAAACCAUGAUUGAUUAUUUUCCCCAUAUCAACGGCUAUCUGGCAAAUAUAAUUGGCAAAGUGAAUCAUAUUGGGUCUAUAAACCCAGUCAUGAGCAGUCAGCAAAGACUCGCCUUGGGACUAAUUCCUGUAUGAGUUUUGAAGGACUUUUUGCUUUCAGAUUGAAGAAGGCACGACUUCACCUGCCUAGGAAAGCAGCCUUGGAAACACAGGCUUUGGGAACAAACCUGACAAACAGCCACAGAAUUCCUACCAGGGAAAACAUGGGGCCGGGUGGCGGGGGCGGGGGCUGCCUGCCUGUAGAGUCAGCUUCGUACCAAUUACACUGCACUUCAGGAAAAGUGCUUUUGAAUCGUACGUGCGCUUUUAAAAAUAAAACUUGGGGAGUUCUUCUCUGUUGAAACCA